rnacentral:rRNA from 1 species
UACGGAGGGUGCAAGCGUUACUCGGAAUCACUGGGCGUAAAGAGCGCGUAGGCGGGAUAGCAAGUCAGAUGUGAAAUCCCACGGCUCAACCGUGGAACAGCCCUUGAUACUGCGCGACUUGAAUCCGGGAGAGGGUGGCGGAAUUCCAGGUGUAGGAGUGAAAUCCGUAGAUAUCUGGAGGAACAUCAGUGGCGAAGGCGGCCACCUGGACCGGUAUUGACGCUGAGGCGCGAAAGCGUGGGGAGCAAACAGG